rnacentral:ncRNA from 1 species
ACAUUUUAUUUUAUUUUCAUUUUAAAUGGUUUUUGUAAAAAGUUUGAUUUUGGCUUAUUUAAUUAUUUAAUGAAUUUUUUACAUGUAAAUUCUUGUGUGGUAUUUUAAAAAUUUUUGAAAAAUUUAAAAUAAAAUUUAUUUGCAGUAUUUAAUUUUAAUAAUUAAAGGAAUUUAGAAUUAUAAUUUAUUUUAAUAUAGGUAAAAAAUGUGCCAGCAGCUGCGGUUAUACAUUUUAUAUGAGUAAUUAUUUUUUAUUUUGUAUAAAAUAUUUGUAUUAAAUCAUAUUUUAAAUAUGAUAAUAAAUUAAGUGAAAUUAUUUAUUUUAUUUAAAUUAUUUAAUAAAAAUUUAUAUUAAAUUAUGAAAUUUUUGUUAUAAACUAGGAUUAGAUACCCUAUUAUUAAAAGUUUAAAUUAUUAUAGAGGAUUAUUAGUUAUGUUCUUUAAACUUAAAAAAAUUGGCGGUAUUUAAAUCUAAUUAGGGGAACUUGUCUUUUAAAUGAUAAUCCUCAAGAUACCUUACUUUAAUUUAUUUAAUUUAUUUAUUGCCGUUAACAGAUUAUUUUUUAAGAAUUUUAAAUUUUCUAAUAUAUAAAAGUUAUAUUAAUUUAUAUGUAUAUAAAUAUUUCAGGUCAUUAUGUAGUUUAUAUUAAAGUAAAGAUGAGUUACAAUAACUUUAUAGUUAAACGAAUAAAAGAUUGCAAUAUUUUUUUGAAGGUGGACUUAAUAGUAAAAAUUUAUUAAAAAAAUUUUUUGAAUUUAGAAUUAAAUAUGUACAUAUCGCCCGUCACUCUCAUUUUUAAGGUGAGAUAAGUCGUAACAAAGUAGAUGUAUUGGAAAAUGUAUCUAGAAAGGUUUAAGUU